UGUGGCAGUGAUGACACACUUGCCCUCACUGAGAAUACUGUUCGGUUAUGAAAAUCUUGCUCUGUACUGAGAGGAGCUGAGCUAGA
ensembl:snoRNA